AUUUCCUCCAGACUCAAGUGCCCCGCCGUGGGUAUGCUCUGCUCUCGUGUAAAAUUGAAGCACGGCCUCCCUCCUUGCCCCGUCUAGCAUAGGAUUUUGCGAAGAGUAGAUCGACGGCGCUCCCUUGCCUCCCCUUGCACGGCCAUUCUCGCCCCCGGACGUGGAGCUACGAACAAGCCAGAGUAUCAGGAUCGGCCGCAGCCCUCGGACCAAGGAGACGUACACAGGUCGUCGGCGCACGCACCACAAGUCGUAGAAGCGCCCGUGCCCAGCACCCAGAUCGCCCAGACCAGCACUAUCCCCUGCAAUUGCGUUUGUGCAGCGACGCCUCGAUGUAGAUCCGGGCACAUCGACACAACAUUCGGAAGUCGGCCAUCGACCUUGCAGCUCAACUAGAUGAGGUAUGUUCUUUUGUACUAUUAAUUCUUCUACUCCGUAUUAUUUUAGUCUAUCGUCUUAUUGGGUUCUUCAGAUUAGUCAAUUUUCCCCAAUGCGUUGCAUAUCACACCAGUGCCAUUUGGGAAUUUUUUAUUAGUCCAAGCACAAAUUGAUCUAUCAGAUGCAGCUAUAAUGGUGAAUUUUUAUUUACUGAUUACAAUUAGUAGACUGGAAAAUCGAUGAGGGGACUUGCUCUCUGUUCUAAUCUUUAAUUUGUACAGAGGUUUCAUGUACCUUUGCAGAUUCUAAAGUAAGGUAUGCUCCUCGACGGUAGGAAGCUCAACAAUUCUUCAUUACCCACGUAGUCUCUCAUCCAGGUGACCAGAUCUUGUACAGGUUGUUUGUCAGUUUCUAUGCAAAAUCCACCUCAGGUUUUGAUCAUCUUCACCACAUGCUUGAAUUUUUUUAUGUCAAUUCUGAGAGAGGAACCGGUUUACAACCGGUCAUGAAGAUUUGUCGUAAAAUCCACAUCAUGAUUGAAUAAAUAGGCAGUGAAAUUUAUUUCUACCA